rnacentral:rRNA from 1 species
AAUACCCGCUGAACUUAAGCAUAUCAAUAAGCCGGAGGAAUUGG